AUUGAACGCUGGCGGCAUGCCUUACACAUGCAAGUCGAACGGUAACAGGUCUUCGGAUGCUGACGAGUGGCGAACGGGUGAGUAAUGCAUCGGAACGUGCCCAGUAGUGGGGGAUAGCCCGGCGAAAGCCGGAUUAAUACCGCAUACGACCUGAGGGUGAAAGGGGGGGAUCGCAAGACCUCUCGCUAUUGGAGCGGCCGAUGUCAGAUUAGCUAGUUGGUGGGGUAAAGGCCUGCCAAGGCAACGAUCUGUAGUUGGUCUGAGAGGACGACCAGCCACACUGGGACUGAGACACGGCCCAGACUCCUACGGGAGGCAGCAGUGGGGAAUUUUGGACAAUGGGCGCAAGCCUGAUCCAGCAAUGCCGCGUGCAGGAAGAAGGCCUUCGGGUUGUAAACUGCUUUUGUCAGGGAAGAAAUCUUCUGGGUUAAUACCUCGGGAGGAUGACGGCACCUGAAGAAUAAGCACCGGCUAACUACGUGCCAGCCGCCGCCGUAA
rnacentral:rRNA from 1 species